CAAAGGUUAACUCUAGUCUUGGCAAAGGGCACAGAGCAGGAUUACCUCCCUUAGGCUGGAUGCUGCUCCGCCAAAGUGUUCACCAGGAAGUUCACAGCUCGCACUCGAAAGCUUUAACUAUUGUCUGUCAAAAACAGAAAGAAUCUUGGUAACCUUUUUAGUGUAUUGUGAAACAGACUGGCAGACUUUGGAAAUGGAAUAUUAUUUUUUUGUCCUCAUUGUGAUCUUGGUACUGAAAGUGCUGUUUUGGACAUUCUACUUUUACGUCCGAGCUCAGCGAAUGCGUCAAGUCCGAAUGCAGAGACUUAUCAUUGUCAGGUCACAUUCCGGGGUAGCUGACAGUCACUUUCCUUACAGUGAUAGUACUGCAAUCAUCAGUAAUGCAGAACCAAUAUCUGUGAGUGAGCCACUUCCUGCCUACCCUCCACCAUAUUCUGAGGUUGUUAAGGAAUCCAGCUUACUGCCACCACCUUAUGAAGUAGAAUCUGGUUUCACAAACACUUAUUCUACUGUUCAACGUUCAUCAGAUGAUGUGCCAUGCUACUGUUCAGCUACUGACCCCUCAUUGACAAGGAGUAAUGACCUUCAACAGGCAGCUAACAGGUCAUCAGGGAGAGAUUAUGCAACGGAAGGGUCAGCAAACCAGCAUUAACCUGCCUGUGUCUCUGCAUUAUCUUGGGCCAUUUAUGACAGAUAAACAGAAGUUGGAAAGAGGUUGGACAUUUGUAGCAUUUUAAAUCAAGAAGGUAUUUUUGUUUUUAUGGUAUUGUAUUGUCACUGCUUUUAAAGCCAGCCAUUUUACCUUCAUAUUUGUGAAGAUAUAUAUGAAUAAUUUAUAUAUUUAUAUAAAGUACAUCAUAGUACUUUUAAUAAUUUUAUUCUAAGAUGAAAGGUUUUCUUGAUGCUUACAGACUAAACUUGAAACAUUCAGAUAUAUGAUGGAUCCAUCUAUUAACAUAAAAUUAUGCCAAUUUACAACACAAUGAUUUUAUUAUACCACUGUUCUUGCUUUUUCUUGAGGACUCCUGUGACCAGUUUUUAUGUCAUGCUCUGUGGUCCCUUUUUAAAGUGCAGUUUGUGGAGUCAAGAAUUUCUUGGGUGCAUACUUAGUCCCUUUUACCUACACCAAAACAUGUAAAUAAUGUAGCUCCCUGUAUCUUUGUAUUUAGCAUCAAUGUCUUUCUAUUGUUUUCUAUUGUAUAGCUAUGUGUCCUUAAAAAAUGUUUUGUUGCUGUCUGCAGUGUUUAUGCUUUUACAUAAAAAAAUGGAAUCUUAAAAGUUUUUCUCAGUUUCAUGUAACUCUGCAUUUUCUAGUUUUUGAAAUUGUACAAGAACAGGCUAAGUUUUCCCUCCACUGAAGUAGUUUGAUUACAUUAGACAUACAGUAUCUGGAUAAAACUAGUUUCUAUGUAGUCGCAUGAUAUCUCCCCUCCAUUAUACUUGACCUUGAACACACAUGCUAAGAAUUCCCACCCAGCUCACAUCAAAGUGGAAGUGUUUAGGCAUUUAGCAAAUAGUUUCAAAAACAAUACACUGGUUUUUUUAAAGGAUGAAUUUCUUGUGCAGCAUUUGCCAAAGUUUUGGUGUUUUUAUAUAAAAAUAAUUACGCAGCUUUAAAAAUAAUUGAUGUAGGUAUCUUUUAAUCUCUUUUCCCAUUCAUUUAAAGCCCUUAUGACUUUACAUGCUGUUGGAGAGAAUAUUUUAAAGAAAAGGAUCAUAAUAGCAAAAGAAGUUGGUAUUUUUUUGUUGUUCAAAAUUUGAAUUCUCUGGAUAAUUGGUAAUUAUUAGCAUAUUUCUGAUCAGCGACUUUUUUCCCCACACCUUAAAAGCACAAAAGGCUGUUCACAUUGUUGGAACUGAGAAAGACAUUUAGUGCUGCACUCUAAGGUGCAUAUUAUGUAUCUGCACAUAUUUACCAGCCUGGAAAGAGUUGGAGGUUGGGAGAUGCCAAGAAGAUAGAGAUUAAUUUCUGAAGAUACACGUGAAUCUUCAUGUGGUGGAAGUUUCAGGGUAACUACAUGAAAACUGCAUUUACCUUUGUCUUUUACAGUUAGCAAGCCAAGUGUUAUGCAGUAGCCUAUUGAUUUCUUAAAUAAUUCAUUUCUGAAUCUUCAUUUUGCUAUCUUAAUCCUUAAUCCAAGGACUAAAAUCUUUAGCAUGUUAUGUCUAAAAUACCAGACCUUGAUUUUUAAGGGAGAAAAAUAUUGAAGAUAAAAUUAAGAAGGAAGUCAAUUAGAGUUUUAUUUGUUGGCCUAUUUUUAAGGAGGUAAAGUCUUGUAGGAGGCACAGAAACUGCUGCAAUGUCAAUAGUUGAUUUAAAAAAAAAGUGUUGAAAGCUAACACUUUUGAAAGACCAAUAAUAUUCCGUCUUUAGAGAGAACUUUUGUACAACUUAUUUCUUGAAGCCAUUUUUUUGAUAUUUGAAAUGUGUUGAAUAAAUGUGAUCAAUAUUUGUCUAGUACAUUUUUAAAUAGAAAAAGCAGACUGUGAUGUUGCUGGAUUGUUAAAAUGAUGCCUAUUUAAAAAACAGAUGCAGUUCAGUGUGCAUUGCUUAUAUUCUCUGAAAUGGAAUUGAUGAUGAUUAUAAUUGAAGUGGGCAGUGGGACCCCGAGUGAACGCAGAAAAUGUAUGUCAAACUUUUAACUGGAGUGCACUGUAUGUCAUAUUGUCAACUUGGUACAAUGAUGCAUUUAUCUUUCAUGUUAUUUAAAUAUAUUGUUAUUACUAUUUAUUGUUGAAAUACUUUUUCUAUUUUAGUCUUGCUUUUCAGAAAACAGUGAUGAUUUUAAACAUUUUGUGGGUUUUUUUUCCUCUCUAAUGCUUGAAGCUGUACAAGCUUAGAACCUUUUUUUUUUUUGGUUUCAUGGGUGAGCUCACUGAGGAAAUAACCACCGCUUAUCCUUGAGAAACAAACCAACAAUCAUACACAGAAGCUAAAAAAUAGCAGAACCUUCAAUGGCAACCAAUAUGCCUAUGAUCUCAGUUCAUCUGUUGGCUUUAGCUGUGACAGCAUAAGCAUGUAAACUUAUGUUCCUGAUGUCAUAUUAAAAAAUUUCCGUGUGUUGAUGUUUGCAUUUUUGAACUGAUUUAUUAACAGAGAGUUUGGGCAAUACAAUAUUGUACCUUGGUAGCCUUUACAUUUUUCUUGCAAGAACAGAUUGUUAUGAAUAUUGCAAAGUCUGAAUGUUACCACAUUUUAGUCUUUACUGAUGCAAGAAUACUUGAAAUUUCUAGUCUGUAUAACUAUGAAACGUAGUCUCCAGUUCCAUAGAAUUGAUGACGAAUGUAGAAAUGCUUUGUGAGUGCUGUACUUUUAGUAGCUGCAGUAAUCUUAUGUGUGCCUUCCUUCUGUCACUGGGGUAGAUCAAGUUACUAUCCUGUGUGGUAGGUGAGUGGUUUUCACAUGAAGACAGCAUAAAUCGCUUCCUUAGUGACUGCCCAUUUCUCUGGGUAGAAGAGGAAGGCUGGUGAGCUUUGGAAUUUUUUAAUACAUUUUAUUUUUUAAAGCUGUAAUGCAAGUUGUUAGCUCAUCUUUCGUGCUUCAUAGUUCGUCAAGUUGCAUUAUGUGAAAAAUAUUAACAGGAAAAUGUUUACUCUAAGUGUGACAUUUACCCAGAAUCGGGACACUAGCCUACGACUGAGGAGUUUAUUUUUAUAUGUACAUGUACAUAAGUGUAACCAGAUACCUGUGGUAUCCAGGUUAAAUUCUAAGACCAUCUUUAAUUCAAUUUUUUUCAAGUCAUAACAUGUACAGUUUAUCUUAAACAUCAGUUUGUCAUGUAUUUUACCCUUUUAAGUAUAUAAAACUGAUCAGUUCUAAAUAUAAUGAAACGUGUUGGUUAUCAUGGACUUAUUGUAACCAGGGUCUGCCUUUAGUUGGCAUUUGAGAGUCUACUCUGUGCCAUGAUGCUUUCCUGUCUUCACUUGGUAUACACUUACAUUCCUACGGUCUGGUCUCUGAAUAUCUAGAAUUUUCAAUAGGUAGAGAUUAGAUGUGAGAAAAUGAAAGAAGUGACACAAAUAUUUCUUGAAAAGUUCAGUAGAAGACUAACAGGAUGGCCUUUAGGGUAGGAUAGAAGGACCGACCGUGAAGAACUGUUGUUUAGAAUGGGAAUUUUCCAUUUCAAUUCCCAGCAUUAUGCAAAGUGAGAUUAUGAUGUUGAAAUUGUCAUGGGUUACCUGAGCUUGUAAUUGCAGAAAAACUUCUUGUAUUUAAUAUCAGCAGUGUUUCAGGGACUGGCCAUGAUACACUUCUGUAAACACCAUCCUUACCUCUUGCUCCACUUCCUAGUGUACAAAUGUUAAAAACUGUUUAGAAAUGGAAUAAAUGCCUUUUUUUUAAAA